rnacentral:rRNA from 1 species
UACGUAGGGUGCGAGCGUUGUCCGGAAUUAUUGGGCGUAAAGAGCUCGUAGGCGGUCUGUCGCGUCGGUCGUGAAAACUUGGGGCUUAACCCUGAGCUUGCGGUCGAUACGGGCAUGACUGGAGUUCGGCAGGGGAGACUGGAAUUCCUGGUGUAGCGGUGAAAUGCGCAGAUAUCAGGAGGAACACCGGUGGCGAAGGCGGCGAUCUGGGUAGAUACUGACGCUGAGGUGCGAAAGCGUGGGGAGCAAACAGG